UACGGAAGGCAGCAGUGGGGAAUAUUGCACAAUGGGCGAAAGCCUGAUGCAGCUAUGCCGCGUGUAUGAAGAAGGCCUUAGGGUUGUAAAGUACUUUCAUCGGGGAGGAAAAACAAAACUAAUAAUUUUAUUUCUUGACGUUACCCGAAAAAGAAGCACCGGCUAACUCCGUGCCAGCAGCCGCGGUAAUACGGAGGGUGCUAGCGUUAAUCAGAAUUACUGGGCGUAAAGAGCACGUAGGUGGUUUUUUUAAGUUCAGAUGUGAAUCCCUGGGCUUAACCUAGGAACUGCAUUUUGAAACUGAAAUACUAGAGUAUCGUAGAGGGAGGUAGAAUUCUAGGUGUAGCGGUGAAAUGCGUAGAUAUCUGGAGGAAUACCUGUGGCGAAAGCGGCCUCCUAAACGAAUACUGACACUGAGGUGCGAAAGCGUGGGGAGCAAACAGGGAUUAGAUACC
rnacentral:rRNA from 1 species